rnacentral:rRNA from 1 species
GCACAAGCGGUGGAGCAUGUGGUUUAAUUCGACGCAACGCGAAGAACCUUACCUGGGCUCGAAAUGUAGUGGAAUCCGGUGGAAACAUCGGCGCCCAGCAAUGGGCCGCUAUAUAGGUGCUGCAUGGCUGUCGUCAGCUCGUGUCGUGAGAUGUUGGGUUAAGUCCCGCAACGAGCGCAACCCUUGUUACCAGUUGCUACCAUUUAGUUGAGCACUCUGGUGAGACCGCCUCGGAUAACGGGGAGGAAGGCGGGGAUGACGUCAAGUCCUCAUGGCCUUUAUGUCCAGGGCUACACACGUGCUACAAUGGCCGGUACAAACCGUCGCAAACCCGUGAGGGGGAGCUAAUCGGAAAAAGCCGGCCUCAGUUCGGAUUGGAGUCUGCAACUCGACUCCAUGAAGCUGGAAUCGCUAGUAAUCGCGGAUCAGAAUGCCGCGGUGAAUACGUUCCCGGGC